CCUACGGGAGGCAGCAGUGAGGAAUAUUGGUCAAUGGGCGGGAGCCUGAACCAGCCAAGUCGCGUGAGGGAAGACGGUCCUAUGGAUUGUAAACCUCUUUAGGCGGGAAGCAAUGCCGGGCACGCGUGCCCGGAGGGAGAGUACCCGCAGAAUAAGCAUCGGCUAACUCCGUGCCAGCAGCCGCGGUAAUACGGGGGAUGCGAGCGGUAUACGGAUUUAUUGGGUUUAAAGGGUGCGUAGGCGGAUUUUUAAGUCAGCGGUAAAAUGUCCGGGCUCAACCCGGGCCGGCCGUUGAAACUGGUUUUCUGGAGUGAGCGAGAAGUAUGCGGAAUGCGUGGUGUAGCGGUGAAAUGCAUAGAUAUCACGCAGAACUCCGAUUGCGAAGGCAGCAUACCGGCGCUCAACUGACGCUCAUGCACGAAAGUGUGGGUAGCGAACAGGAUUAGAUACCCCGGUAGUC
rnacentral:rRNA from 1 species